UGCGGAAGGAUCAUUACUGAGUUAGGGUCUCAUCUCGAGCCCGAACCUCCAACCCUUUGUAUAAAACACUUUGUUGCUUUGGCAGGCCCGUCUGAAAAUCCUUUAACCGGGAUCGACGACCGCCGGGGGCGUUUAGUCACCUCUGGCCAGUGCUUGCCGAUAGCCUAUUCAAAAUUCUUUAUUAAAUCAUGUCUGAAAAAUUAUAACUAAAUAUAAUUAAAACUUUUAACAACGGAUCUCUUGGUUCUGGCAUCGAUGAAGAACGCAGCGAAAUGCGAUAAGUAAUGUGAAUUGCAGAAUUCAGUGAAUCAUCGAAUCUUUGAACGCACAUUGCGCCCUUUGGUAUUCCGAAGGGCAUGCCUGUUCGAGCGUCAUUAUCAACCCUCAAGCUCGGCUUGUUAUUGGGCUCUUAUCGUUACAGAUAGGCCCGAAAGAUAAUGGCGGCGUCAUAAAUGACCCCAGAUGCAGCGAGCUUAUAGCAUACAUCGAAAGGUUUUUAUGGCCCGGCCUUAACGAGAAGCAAUUCUCAAUUUAUUUAAAGGUUGACCUCGGAUCAGGUAGGAAUACCCGCUGAACUUAA
rnacentral:rRNA from 1 species